CCCCCGCUGCUCACUAAACCUGACUCUAAACUCUACUUCGACAUUUCGCGCGACUACAUACUCCCUUGUCUCUCCGCAUCCUGACCCUCGCUGAAAAUCUCCAUCGCUGGUUUCAAUUGUUAAUUCGUUGCUGGGUUUUCUCAGGUUGUUAUUUGGGUUUUCUUGCUGGGCUGAUUUCACCCAUUCUUCAUCGCUAAAUCCACUGUAUCGUCACCAACAACCCGCUAUAUCGUCAGCAAUUUAGGGGUUUCUCUCACCUUCACCAGCAACUGUGAUUCUCUCGAUUCCGCUGGGUUUUCUUGCUGGGUUGCUUUCAAUUUAGGGGUUUCUCUCUCGGCUGCUUUCAAUUCAGGGGUUUAUCUCUCGGCUGCUUUCAAUUUAGGGGUUUUCUCGUUGGGCUGCUACUGUGAUUGCUACUAGUGGUGGGUUCAAGGUUUAAGAGCUUUGUUAUUCCAAGUAGGAGGUACAGAAUGUGGAUUUUUUGUCAUGAGGUACAUGUAUGACAUAGUCAUGCUUUCUCAGAAAAAUUCUAACACGAACUGGGAAGUGGUUCUUGGUUCUAGGAGUUAUGGCAAAAAGGAAAUCAAUGAGAUUCGAGAGAUUUGGGCUCGGUUUUUUACUCUUGAAUGUCUCUAGUCGGAUGGCGAUUAAUGCAAAAACGGGAGUGCAGAAAAAGGAGCUUCAAGAAAAGCGGAGUUAGUUGAGAGAUUUUUAUGCUCUAAGAUGUUUAAUGUAACUGACUUAAUUUGUAGAGAGAUUGUAAUUAAUAUUGUACUCUUUCUAAUGUAAACAAUCUUUUUAAUAUAUUAUAAUAUAAUU